CACCGUAGAAACUUGGAUGGAGUCUGAUUACUGUAGAAAUCUUAUUGUUAGAGAAGCUCGGAUAUUGACGAAGUUCGAAAGAAGUUCAGAGAAUAGUUGAUCACUGUAGAAGGUCGGCUAAUAGUGAGGCCUAGAGAGCCUUUGGAGUGGCCCGGUAGAUGGAUGGAGAAGCUCAUUGUCAAAAAAGUUCGGACGGUAUUAUGG
rnacentral:lncRNA from 1 species